AUGCUUGCUUCAACUGCACACUUACUAAAAUUGAAACAACUCAGAGAAGAUUAGUAUGGCCUGUGCAGAAGGGUGAUACACAAAUUCGUGAAGCAUUCCAUCUUAAA
ensembl:snRNA U6 U6 spliceosomal RNA